CGCGCGUGUAAGAGCGAUUUCAAAUACAAAGAAGGUAACGGCUCUUUCCUCAAAGAAACAACCGCUGCGCAAGAACAUCCAGUAUACAUGCGUUCUCUUAAAAUAUCAGAGGGUUCACAGAGCAGCACUAUCAUCUGAAGAUCAGCAUGACUGUCACUAACAGAUAUGGACAAGCUGCCAGCACAGAACUGAGUAUGCUGAGGACAGAG